CCAAGAUGUCUUGCGUCUGCAGGUGUCCAGUGUGACGUGCAGCUGGUGGAGUCUGGGGGAGACCUGGUGAAGCCUGGGGGGUCCCUGAGACUCACCGGUGUAGCCUCUGGAUUCACCUUCAGUAGUUCCAGCAUGAACUGGGUCCGCCAGGCUCCAGGAAAGGGGCUGCAGUGGGUCGCGUAUAUUAGUAGUAGUGGAGGUAGCACAAGCUACGCAGACUCCGUGAAGGGCCGAUUCCCCAUCUCCAGAGACAACGCCAAGAACACGCUGUAUCUGCAGAUGAACAACCUGAAGACUGAGGACACGGCCACAUAUUACUGUGCAAGAGACAGGGUGGCCCCGAGGUGUAGGGUGCUGGCCACCCGGUACAGCCCUCUGUUCUGUCUGAUGGUCUAG